AGAGUUUGAUCCUGGCUCAGGACGAACGCUGGCGGCGCGCUUAACACAUGCAAGUCGAGCGAGAACCAGUCCUUCGGGACUGGGGACAGCGGCGAACGGGUGAGUAACACGUGGGUAAUCUGCCCUCGAUUCUGGGAUAGCCCGGGGAAACCCGGAUUAAUACCGGAUAGCCUCUCGAGCUUUCGAGCUUGUGAGAAAAGGUAGCUUCGGCCUCCGAUCGAGGAUGAGCCCGCGGCGGAUUAGCUUGUUGGUGGGGUAAUGGCCUACCAAGGCGACGAUCCGUAGCUGGUCUGAGAGGACGAUCAGCCACACUGGGACUGAGACACGGCCCAGACUCCUACGGGAGGCAGCAGUGGGGAAUCUUGCGCAAUGGGCGAAAGCCUGACGCAGCGACGCCGCGUGGGGGAAGAAGGCCU
rnacentral:rRNA from 1 species